AACGCUAGCUACAGGCUUAACACAUGCAAGUCGAGGGGUAACGAGAGGGAAGCUUGCUUUCCUUGUCGACGACCGGCGAAUGGGUGAGUAACGCGUAUCCAACCUGCCCUUCAGUAAGGGAUAGCCUUUCGAAAGAAAGAAUAAUACCUUAUAAGAUCGUUUGAUGACAUCAGAUGACGAUUAAAGAUUUAUCGCUGAAGGAUGGGGAUGCGUCCCAUUAGGCAGUAGGCGGGGUAACGGCCCACCUAACCUACGAUGGGUAGGGGUUCUGAGAGGAAGGUCCCCCACAUUGGAACUGAGACACGGUCCAAACUCCUACGGGAGGCAGCAGUGAGGAAUAUUGGUCAAUGGCCGUAAGGCUGAACCAGCCAAGUAGCGUGCAGGAUGACGGCCCUAUGGGUUGUAAACUGCUUUUAAACGGGGAUAAAGUGAGCCACGUGUGGUUUAUUGCAGGUACCGUUUGAAUAAGGACCGGCUAAUUCCGUGCCAGCAGCCGCGGUAAUACGGAAGGUCCAGGCGUUAUCCGGAUUUAUUGGGUUUAAAGGGAGCGUAGGCGGAGCGUCAAGCCAGCAGUGAAAUGUAGCGGCCCAACCGCUGCACUGCUGUUGGAACUGGCGCCCUUGAGUGCACACGAGGUAUGCGGAAUUUGUGGUGUAGCGGUGAAAUGCUUAGAUAUCACGAAGAACUCCGAUUG
rnacentral:rRNA from 1 species